rnacentral:misc_RNA from 1 species
AAAGUCGUAACAAGGUUUCCGUAGGUGAACCUGCGGAAGGAUCAUUACAAGGACCCGCGCCUACCCGGCCGGACCUCCAUACCAUUGUGUACCGAAUCUCCGUUGCCUCGGCGGAUCAGGGCGCGCAAGCGCCCCCCGCCGGUGGUCAUCAUAAACUUUUUCGUGGAUGAACGUCUGAUUUAUAUUUUAAAAGAAAUACAACUUUCAACAAUGGAUCUCUUGGCUCUG